UGGAAGCCAGGGCCAGGUGCAUACUGGGCAAACACUCUGUCCCUGAGCUACACCCCAUAUUUGCAUCUCUUCACAUAAAGAAGCUCUCACUCUGCGUUUGUUUGUUUUUACUCUGUCUAUAAUUGUGUUGUUCUUUCAGAGGAGACCAGCUUUCUUGGUUGGUUGUGGUCUCUGGUCCCUCUCUAUUCCCAAACAUCUGCAAAGCCACCCCCUGGGAUGUCUGUGGCUCCUGCUCUCUUCUGUCUGCUGCAGCUAACAUUCUUGCUGCUGCUGCUUAUUUAUGUGUUCUUUCUGGUGUUUGAGAUGCAUGCCCACUAUUCCCCAAAUCAAUCCUUUGAGGCCUGCCUCUUCCAUAGAACCUGUAUUGAUUAAGCUACAAGUUCGCUAAAUAGGAUAAAAUCUUAAAUUGGUACUUCAGCAAGAUGAGAGUUCAUGUGAAGAACUCCAUAAGUAAGCCAUGUAGAGAUGGUAUGACUGCGUAAUCAUCAGGGAGUCAGGCUUUUUUGAUCUUUUGGUAUCAUGGUUCAGAAUGGCUCCUGGAGAUCCACCCAUCAUGUUUGUGCUUCCGGCAAGAAUUUUCAGAGCAGGAAAAAGAGUGAGUGGCAGUUGUUGGGUCUACUGUUUGAGGCACUUUCCUAGAACCCUCUCUAGACAGUUUCUGUUUUAAAUCAUAUCAGUCACCUCUAGCUCCCAGGGAGGCUGGGAAAUGGAGUACUUUAUAUGGGCAUACGGCCCUCUCAAAUCAAAUGGGGUCUCUGUUACCAGGAAAAAUGGAAGAAUAGGUAGUGAGUGGCAGCUAGCAGCCUCUGGCACAAGCCUUUCCAACUACUCCAUCCCGCCUGUGGUUCUUAGAGUGAGCCCACACUGCACAAUUGUUUUUAUUAUUAUGCCAUCUGUUAAUUCAUUGACCCCAUGGACAAAUGACAACAGAACCUCUUCUCUCUGCAAGGCAUGGUGCCUGUGAUAUUCUGAAGCAUCGCUCUCAAGCCAAGGGGUUGGCUGGCUCCUUGAGGGCAGGGACCAGGGUCCGUUUCUCUCAGCAGUAUCUUUCCCAAGGCUGAGCGUAUGGCAGGCACCAGAAAAGCACCUGGUUGAUUUUAUAGCCGUCACAAGUGAGAAGCCCAGGGUAAAAACACAAAACAAAACAAUAAAAACUUCCCCGACUUAUUUCUAUGCUAGAAAAGUGUCGUGAUUUGGGUCCCUUCUGGUUUUGAGGGUGGACCGUGAACCGUCUCCAAACAUCAGAGCUGCGCUGCAGCCCAGUUGUCUGUUUUGGACUCUGCACUCUGUUUGCAUACUAAACACGAGUUCUGAGUAGAAGGCUCUGUGCCCACCUGCUUCCCUCCCCACUGCUUUUCCUGGAGCUGUUUCUGCCACGUGACCCUCCCUUGUCAUCUCUGCACCACGUAGCUGCAGAGAAAACCUGCAGUGUCUCCUCCGUGAGAGUCUGCUUCGUUCGUUCGUUCCCCAUCCUGUCUCCCUGUUUGAUUCCUGCUUUCAUCUGCCUGCGACUAGACUGUCUGGAGGAAGUUGCCUGGAGCUCGAAGCUCGUCUUGUGAUUGCUGAGCAAAAGAUAGCUUUAAAGGUUUCACUGUGUUGUCACUUUAUUAUGAAGAUGUUCUCAAACUCCUGGGCUCAAGACAUCCUCAGCUUCCUAAGCGCUGGAACUCAAGGCCAGUGCUGCUGUGCCGUCUUUGAGUUGCUGCGGCUUCGUUCAGUAAUCUACUGGGACAAUUAUAAGCGAUCUUGCUGUGUAUCCCUGGCUGGCCUCGAACUCACAGAGUUCUGCUUCUGCCUCUGAAGUGCUGGGAUUAAAGGUGUGCAUUACCAUACCCACUGUAGAUUUUUGGAGUCAUCUUAGGCAGUGUUCUUAUUGCUUACAUCAUUCAUUCUUUUUGUUUGUUUGUUUUGUUUUUUGAGACAGGGUUUCUCUGUGUAUCCUUGGCUAUCCUGGAACUCACUCUGUAGACCAAGCUGGCCUUGAAUUCAUACAGAUCUGCCUGGCUCUACCUCUCUAGCGCUGGAAUUAAAGGUGUGCACAACCACUACCUGGCCCUUACAUCAUUAUUUCUAAUCAUAAAGAACAGACUUGUAAACAAAAGUAUGAAGCUAUUAAUCUGUAAGUUAGGGACUGCUCAACUACAUUAUCAUUCAAAGUGUAUAUUAUACACAUAUACUUUCUUUUGUUAUUUUUUUUUGUUUAUCACUUAUGAUAACUAUUAAACAUCUAUUACUCUC